ACUUAAAUUGAAGAGUUUGAUCAUGGCUCAGAUUGAACGCUGGCGGCAGGCCUAACACAUGCAAGUCGAACGGUAGCACAGAGAGCUUGCUCUCGGGUGACGAGUGGCGGACGGGUGAGUAAUGUCUGGGAAACUGCCUGAUGGAGGGGGAUAACUACUGGAAACGGUGGCUAAUACCGCAUAACGUCGCAAGACCAAAGAGGGGGACCUUCGGGCCUCUUGCCAUCAGAUGUGCCCAGAUGGGAUUAGCUGGUUGGUGAGGUAACGGCUCACCAAGGCGACGAUCCCUAGCUGGUCUGAGAGGAUGACCAGCCACACUGGAACUGAGACACGGUCCAGACUCCUACGGGAGGCAGCAGUGGGGAAUAUUGCACAAUGGGCGCAAGCCUGAUGCAGCCAUGCCGCGUGUAUGAAGAAGGCCUUCGGGUUG
rnacentral:rRNA from 1 species